rnacentral:lncRNA from 1 species
ACGAAACCAAAAAACCUGCAGCGAAAGGUAUAUCCAAAUCAUUUUGCUAUUUUAGCACAGACUAGACGACAGUGUGGAUGUUUGUUUGGUAGUUGUGUUGCAUUGGAUUCCUGUGUGGAUGGUUUUUAGCUCGGAUUGAAUUUAGAAACACAACUUAAAGAUGGGAAAUGCUAAUUCAACAAGUUCCUCUAGCUCAUCUGGUGGCAAAAAGAUUCGCACAAAUAUGAUGUUUGGAGCGAAAAAGAGUGGAGGUGGAAAUACAAAGACCAAACCCAAAAAGCCAGGCAUCUGAGCAGCUUUAAUUUUCAUUAACCUGUUACUCCUUUAUAAACACUACCUACUCCUGCUAGGUACAUCUGUAAGCUAUAGUAACUUGAUUUUUCGGUUUAUUUGUAUCAAUUGCUGGCAAGUCUGUUAUCGAAGCAUCGGAUAUCCUGAGAAAACUAAAUUUCUUGUUCUGGCAGAAUCCAAAGGACUUUAUUGUCAUAGCCCCAUACGUCAAAACAUUUAUUUUGUCUGCAGGUCUUAUAAAAACCAUUACUUUCAACAUCCGAUAUUUCAAAAUUAAUUGCUGGGUAGACCUUUCGAUGGUAAAUAUUUUCCAUUCUAGACCAGCGGAUUACUGUAUGUCUUGUCAACCCGAUACAUAUAAUAACCUUCGUAUAAUUGCCAGUAUCUGGUUCAGAAAGAGAUGGAACUUGAAUUUCAUAUCGUUUGUAAAACGAGCAGGUAGAUGGAAUGUUUAACUUGACACUAGAGGGUACUCUCAUCUUCGUUUAAUGUGAUAUCGCUAUUUGCAGAUUGAUUUCUCGAAUACGACAUGCUGUGAUUACAACGGAUGACACACAGCUCUGUAUUGAACAUUGAUCUUUUUUAUAAAUCAAAUUAAGUGAACAUUAUCAUACAGAGUUUUAGUUUAGUAUAUAUUAGGGAAGAAUGAACCCCUUCCUGAGAAUAUUGAGAAUGAUAAGAAACAAAGAUGUUUACUUUAAAAGAUUUAAAAAGUAUUAUAUAUUGCUAAAAAUAGUUAUAAAUCUGCCAACCAUACAAAUAUUUACCAACUAUUACUUUAUCUUUAAAGGGAGAGUUUAAUAUAUGAAUUAAAAAUAUUCCUAUUACUUAACACAUUUUCAAUCUGAAUUUUAGAACAGAACAUAAUAAAAAUUGACAAUAUUUGACCAUUAAAAAAUAGCAUUUCAUUUUGGUAUUCAAAAUAGAUGAUUUUAGACCAUAUGUUACUGUAGUGGUUUAACCCCUAGGAUAUAUUCUAUAGAACCUGUUAUAUUUAUAACCCUGUUCAUACUGACAAAGUCAUAAUUGGCCUAUACAUAAUGUACUGUAUCUUAUUAACAGGUCCAUGAUCAGUCAGUUAAAUAUUACUGUAUAUAAAAAACCCCUAAAUAAUGCAUGAUACAGUUUUAUAUCUGUGGGGCCAUCUAUCAAAUACAUUAAUAUUACACACUGAUAUUCUAUAUUAUAUUCUUUAGACAGGGUUUCAGAGAGUAAGAUUGAUUUUUUCAACUUACUUCUGCUCUUAGAUAAUACUUUUUCUGUUAUAUUUGUUGUUUUAUUGGAAACAUGUUUUGUUUACUACAGUAUUCACUUUCUAUAAGCCAUAGUUUAAAAAUAAUUCAAAAUGUCAUGCAUCCUGGCGAAUGUUUAUAUAAGCCAUUAUACAGUAACAUUAACAAAUUGUAGGCCUAUUGUGUAAUAGCCAUAAUCUACAAUUGUUGAUUGAAUAACUUAAUGGAAAUGAAUAAAAUUAUGUAGCAGUGGGAAAUAAUAUAUUGGAAUGUUUACUAGGCUAGGCAUAAAAUUCAGAAUUAGCUGAUGAAAAUAUAUUGUAUUACUUACUGAUAAUUCCUAGUUUUAUUAUCUAUUUCCAAACCAAUUUUAUUGUAAAAAAAUGUGUGA